rnacentral:rRNA from 1 species
AGUGAACGCUGGCGGUAGGCCUAACACAUGCAAGUCGAACGGCAGCACAGUAAGAGCUUGCUCUUACGGGUGGCGAGUGGCGGACGGGUGAGGAAUACAUCGGAAUCUACUUUUUCGUGGGGGAUAACGUAGGGAAACUUACGCUAAUACCGCAUACGACCUACGGGUGAAAGCAGGGGAUCUUCGGACCUUGCGCGAUUGAAUGAGCCGAUGUCGGAUUAGCUAGUUGGCGGGGUAAAGGCCCACCAAGGCGACGAUCCGUAGCUGGUCUGAGAGGAUGAUCAGCCACACUGGAACUGAGACACGGUCCAGACUCCUACGGGAGGCAGCAGUGGGGAAUAUUGGGCAAUGGGCGCAAGCCUGAUCCAGCCAUACCGCGUGAGUGAAGAAGGCCUUCGGGUUGUAAAGCCCUGUUGUUGGGAAAGAAAAACAGCAGGUUAAUACCCCGCUGUUCUGACGGUACCCAAAGAAUAAGCACCGGCUAACUUCGUG